AUGGACUCCACGGCGUUCUUCUGGUUCGUUGCAGCGCGACACAAGAGAUCGAUGCAGCCUGCGCUCAGGUGUUGCUUGGAUCCGGGCAAGUCCGUCAUGAACAUGAUCGCCGACGUGUUCCCGAUGGACCGACUGGAGUUGAAAAACCUGCAACCCUUGCCUGGGGCCUGGGCAUGCAUGCUCAUCCAGGAGGAAACCGUGCAGACGCUGCCCAGCCCGCCCAGACCCGGAGAUCAUGCUGGCACGACCCUUGCGGCGGGCUACGCUAACCAUGCGCAAGGACCUAGGCCGUCUCCCUCGCGUGACCCACUCGCCAAACUCGACGGCUCCCGCUCCGGCUCGCAAAGGUCGCUGCUCCUGCUGGCCGGCAACUGUCCGCUCGCCAACCUCGCAAUCAAGGCCGCAACUUCCCGAAACAAAGGUCCCCACUCACGUCUCCUUUGUGCUGCAGACAGGACUGGAUAA
rnacentral:rRNA from 1 species